rnacentral:lncRNA from 1 species
AAAGGGGGUGUGUGAAAAGGGGUGAGUGUGCAAAGGGGGUGUGUGUGCAAAGGGCUGGGUGAGCAGGGAUGGGUGUGCUGGAUGUGUGCAUGGGCUCAGGUGUGCAAGGAUGGGCACGGGGAUGGGUGUACAGGGUCAGGUGUGCAAGGAUGGGUGUGCAGGGAUGAGUGUGCAGGGCUGGGUGUGCAAGGAUGGGUGCACAGAGAUGGGUGUGCUGGAUGUGUGCAUGGGGCCAGGUGUGCAAGGAUGGGCGCACAGGGAUGGGUGUGCAGGGAUGUUUGCAGGGCCAAGUUUGCAAAGAUGGGAGCGCAGGGAUUUGUGUGCAGGGCCAGGUGUGCAAAGAUGAGUGCAAAGGAAUGGUGUGCAGGGCCAGGUGUGCCAGGAUGGGUGGACAGGGAUGGGUGUGCAGGGCCGGGUGUGCAAGGAUGGGUGGACAGGGAUGGGUGUGCAGGGCCGGGUGUGCAAAGAUGAGCAGACAGGGAUUGGUUUGCAGGGUCAGGUGCGCAAAGAUGGGCGCGCAGGGAUUGGUUUGCAGGGAUAGUUGUGCAAGGAUGGACGCACAGGGCCGUGUGUGCAGGGCCGUGUGUGCAAGGACGUGUGUGCACGGGGCCAGGUGUGCAAGAACACACACUCAGCGCCGUUCCCAUGCUGCAGGGAUGCUCACGCAGCACGGAUCCAGCCGCUCCGCAGCCGCCGUCGCGGCGCCGCAGUCCCCAUUUCCCCACCUUUUUCCCCCCCCAACCCCUUUUUAUUUCUUUUUUUUUACCCCCCCAGCUGCUGGGCGCAGGGCAGCCGUGCAGGGAACCCACAAACGAAUGCGACCUGCCCGAAUUCUGCGACGGCAGCUCCCGUUUCUGCCCCCCAAACACCUUCGUGCAGGACGGGCAGCCGUGCGGCGGCGGCGGCAGAUGCUCGGGGGGGGUUUGCAGCACCUACGAGGGGCAAUGCCGGCAGCUGCUGGGCUCAGGUGCCGUCCCCGUCUCCGGCUCCUGCAUGGCGGCUCUGAACGCACGGGGGGAUGAAGGCGGGCACUGCGGGCGGCUCCGCAACGGCUCCUUCGUGCCGUGCGCUGCAGGGUGAGCAGCUCAGCUCUGUCCUGUCCUGCUGUCCUGCCGUCCCCAAGCCUUGUCCUGCUGUCCUCAGCCCUGCCCCUGUCCCCCUGUCCCUUCUGUGCCCAGCCCUGCCCUGCCAUCCCCAUCAUUUCCCUG